rnacentral:rRNA from 1 species
GUAGUAGUGGGUGUAGCGUACCUACUAGCCUACGACGGGUACGGGUUGUGAGAGCAAGAGCCCGGAGAUGGAUUCUGAGACACGAAUCCAGGCCCUACGGGGUGCAGCAGGCGCGAAAACUUUACAAUGCUGGCAACAGCGAUAAGGGAACCUCGAGUGCCAGGUUACAAAUCUGGCUGUCGAGAUGCCUAAAAAGCAUUGCAUAGCAAGGGCCGGGCAAGACCGGUGCCAGCCGCCGCGGUAACACCGGCGGCUCGAGUGGUAACCGUUAUUAUUGGGUCUAAAGGGUCUGUAGCCGGCCGGAUAAGUCUCUUGGGAAAUCCAGCAGCUCAACUGUUGGGCUUUCAGGAGAUACUGUCUGGCUCGAGGCCGGGAGAGGUGAGAGGUACUUCAGGGGUAGGGGUGAAAUCUUGUAAUCCUUGAAGGACCACCAGUGGCGAAGGCGUCUCACCAGAACGGACCUGACGGCAAGGGACGAAAGCUAGGGGCACGAACCGGAUUAGAUACCCGGGUAGUCCUAGCCGUAAACGAUACUCGCUAGGUGUCGGCCACGGUGCGACCGUUGUCGGUGCCGUAGGGAAGCCGUGAAGCGAGC